CCUACGGGUGGCAGCAGUGGGGGAUAUUGCACAAUGGGGGAAACCCUGAUGCAGCGACGCCGCGUGAGUGAAGAAGUAUUUCGGUAUGUACAGCUCUAUCAGCAGGGAAGAAAAUGACAGUACCUGACCAAUCAGCCCCGGCUAACUACGUGCCAGCAGCCGCGGUAAUACGUAGGGGGCAAACGUUAUCCGGAUUUGCGGGGUGUAAAGGGAGCUGAGACGGUUAUGUAAGUCUGGAGUGAAGGCCCGGGGCCCAACCCCGGGACUGCUUUGGAAACUGUGUAACUUGAGUACAGGAGGGGCAGGCGGAAUUCCUGGUGUAGCGGUGAAAUGCGUAGAUAUCAGGAGGAACACCGGCGGCGAAGGCGGCCUGCUGGACUGAAACUGACGUUGAGGCUCGAACGCGUGGGGAGCAAACAGGAUUAGAUACCCUUGUAGUC
rnacentral:rRNA from 1 species